UUUUUCGAACAUGUCUUUUUGAUAAUAAUUUAAAGUUGUCUCUGCCCAAUGAUAAAUUAAAUGGCCGCAGUAUUUUGACUGUGCAAAGGUAGCAUAAUCAAUAGUUUUUUAAUUGAAAACUAGAAUGAAAGAGUUGAUAAAAUAUAUACUUUAUUUAUUUAAAAUUUUAAAUUUAAAAUUUUAGUAAAAAUGCUAAAAUUUAUUUAUGGGACGAGAAGACCCUUUAGAAUUUUAUAUAUAAAUUGAUAUUAAUAUUAAUUUUAAUAUUUAUAUUAAUUUAUAUAUUUUAUUGGGAGGAUAAUUAAAUUUAUAUAACUUUAAUAAAUUUAUUUACAAUAAUUAUUGAUUUUUGAGAUUUUAUAAUAAAUUAAUUAAUAGAUUAAAUUACCUAAGGGAUAACAGCGUAAUAUUUUUGGAGAGUUCAUAUUGAUAAAAAUGUUUGCGACUCGUUUUAA
rnacentral:rRNA from 1 species